UGCCUACGGGGGGCAGCAGUGAGGAAUAUUGGUCAAUGGGCGGAAGCCUGAACCAGCCAAGUCGCGUGAGGGAAUAAGGCCCUACGGGUCGUAAACCUCUUUUGCCGGGGAGCAAGGGCGGGGACGUGUCCCGGCCCGGAGAGUACCCGGAGAAAAAGCAUCGGCUAACUCCGUGCCAGCAGCCGCGGUAAUACGGAGGAUGCGAGCGUUAUCCGGAUUUACUGGGUGUAAAGGGAGCGUAGACGGCUGUGCAAGCCAGAUGUGAAAGCCCGGGGCUCAACCCCGGGACUGCAUUUGGAACUGUG
rnacentral:rRNA from 1 species